AUUCCAUUCGGACCGUCAAUCUACCGAGCGAUUUCACUGGCUAGGUGGAAGAUCUUCCUUUUGCCGU
rnacentral:pre_miRNA from 1 species